rnacentral:ncRNA from 1 species
AUAAAGAUUAUGAUGGAAAGAAGUAACUUUAUAAAUCAUGCAGAGAGCUAGUGUUUGGUGAAAACUAGUUGAGGAUUAAAGUGAAAUACAUUCCUGAAUUUUAUACUGAAAGGUUAUAUGCUUAGUAGGUGGCUACGGAUAUCUCAACGUUAUAGGGAAAUGAGCGAAUAUGAUAUUAUCAUAUUAACUUGGGUGGUACCACGGAAAAUUUCGUCCCUUUA